rnacentral:rRNA from 2 species
ACGCUGGCGGCAGGCCUAACACAUGCAAGUCGAGCGGUAACAGGAAGUAGCUUGCUACUUCGCUGACGAGCGGCGGACGGGUGAGUAAUGCCUGGGAAUAUGCCUUGAUGUGGGGGAUAACUAUUGGAAACGAUAGCUAAUACCGCAUAAUGCCUACGGGCCAAAGAGGGGGAUCUUCGGACCUCUCGCGUCAAGAUUAGCCCAGGUGGGAUUAGCUAGUUGGUGGGGUAAAGGCUCACCAAGGCGACGAUCCCUAGCUGGUCUGAGAGGAUGAUCAGCCACACUGGAACUGAGACACGGUCCAGACUCCUACGGGAGGCAGCAGUGGGGAAUAUUGCACAAUGGGGGAAACCCUGAUGCAGCCAUGCCGCGUGUAUGAAGAAGGCCUUCGGGUUGUAAAGUACUUUCAGCAGUGAGGAAGGUGGUAGUGUUAAUAGCACUAUCAUUUGACGUUAGCUGCAGAAGAAGCACCGGCUAACUCCGUGCCAGCAGCCGCGGUAAUACGGAGGGUGCGAGCGUUAAUCGGAAUUACUGGGCGUAAAGCGCAUGCAGGCGGUCUGUUAAGCAAGAUGUGAAAGCCCGGGGCUCAACCUCGGAACAGCAUUUUGAACUGGCAGACUAGAGUCUUGUAGAGGGGGGUAGAAUUUCAGGUGUAGCGGUGAAAUGCGUAGAGAUCUGAAGGAAUACCGGUGGCGAAGGCGGCCCCCUGGACA